UCAUCCUUUCAGCCAUUAAUUAAUUCAUCAUCCAUUAUUCAUCCUUUCAGCCAUUUAUUAAUUCGUCAUCCAUCCAUCAUCCAUCCUUUCAGCCAUUAAUUAAUUCAUCCAUCCAUCCAUCAUCCUUUCAGCCAUUAAUUAAUUCAUCCAUCCAUCCAUCAUCCUUUCAGCCAUUAAUUAAUUCAUCCAUCAUUCAUCCAUUAAUUAAUUAAUUCAUCCAUCAUCCAUCCAUCAUCCUUUUAGCCAUUUAUUAAUUCAUCAUCCAUCCUCCAUCCUUUCAGCCAUUAAUUAAUUCAUCAUCCAUUAUUCAUCCUUUCAGCCAUUAAUUAAUUCAUCCAUCCAUUAUUCAUCCUUUCAGCCAUUAAUUAAUUCAUCCAUCAUUCAUCCAUUAAUUAAUUAAUUCAUCCAUCAUCCAUCCAUCAUCCUUUUAGCCAUUUAUUAAUUCAUCAUCCAUCCUCCAUCCUUUCAGCCAUUAAUUAAUUCAUCAUCCAUUAUUCAUCCUUUCAGCCAUUAAUUAAUUCAUCAUCCAUUAUUCAUCCUUUCAGCCAUUAAUUAAUUCAUCCAUCAUCCAUCCUUUCAGCCAUUAAUUAAUUCAUCCAUCCAUCAUCCUUUCAGCCAUUAAUUAAUUCAUCCAUCCAUCCAUCAUCCUUUCAGCCAUUAAUUAAUUCAUCCAUCCAUCCAUCAUCCUUUCAGCCAUUAAUUAAUUCAUCCAUCCAUCCAUCAUCCUUUCAGCCAUUAAUUAAUUCAUCAUCCAUCAUCCAUCCAUCAUCCUUUCAGCCAUUAAUUAAUUCAUCAUCCAUCAUCCAUCCUUUCAGCCAUUAAUUAAUUCAUCCAUCCAUCCAUCAUCCUUUCAGCUAUUAAUUAAUUCAUCCAUCAUUCAUCCUUUCAGCCAUUAAUUAAUUCAUCCAUCCAUCAUCCAUCCAUUCAUCCUUUCAGCCAUUAAUUAAUUCAUCCAUCCGUCUGUAUAUGACUGACUUAUUAAACCACUUUGUCUUCUGACUAAAUGUUGUUGUCUCUUCCAGGAAGUCUCAGGUCACGGUGGAAUGUCUGACCCCUCUGACUAAAUGUUGUUGUCUCCUCCAGGAAGUCUCAGGUCACGGUGGAAUGUCUGACCCCUCUGACUAAAUGUUGUUGUCUCAUCCAGGAAGUCUCAGGUCACGGUGGAAUGUCUGACCCCUCUGACUAAAUGUUGUUGUCUCCUCCAGGAACUCUCAGGUCACGGUGGAAUGUCUG